rnacentral:lncRNA from 1 species
AAAAGCCUCCAAAAAUUGCACCAAUGUCACUUGGCCGCCAACUUGAAAAGUGAAUCAAAAAUCCUAGCAAUUAUUUCUCCUUCUUCAACUAUUAACUUUGUCUCAAAAUUGGUGUGUAGCUUGAUCUUUAAGUCCUUCAAGACCAUGUCAAUUUUCAUCUUAAUCCGAUUGAUAGAUCUUUAGAUAUCAUAGAAACUCUACCCAACUUCAAACUGCCACCUUCUAAAACCCUCUUGUGCUAAAAACUAGAUAUCUCUAAACCACGCCGUUAGAUUAUCACAAAAUUUUUUCCACACUUAGCACAUCCAAUAAUCCAAAAAAUAUUAAAUUUUCAACCAUAGAUGUCAUGUCAAUUGCACGAACUAGCCAAAAUUGCUAGCCCUAAUU